GGACUCGCUUCGGUAUGGUCUUUGCGUUUUUUGUUUGAGGAUGUAGUGGGGCUAGGGUUUCGGAUUCGUGCCGGGACUAGGACAUUUGUGUGUAGUCAAUGCUAGCGAGUCCUGUGAAGGAAUCAAUUGCUCUUUUUGUUGAACAAUAAGGUUGGAGUUGAGAGUCGAUUUCUCUUGCUGCAUUUUAGUUGAUCUCCUAAUGGCUGCUGAUUUUCAAACUUUUUGGUUUAACACGCUCAGCUUAUCCGUACUGUGUGGUCUAGUUUGCAAUCAGCAAAACUAUGUUGGAUUAGCUUUCACCUCCAGAUUCUUUUUUUGUAUUGCAGUAGGACGAAGGAUGAAAAUAUGGAAGUGAUUAAGGAACUUGCUUUUGCAAUUCUUUGCUACAGAUUCUGGAAGCUUCAAUAACAGUGUUGCAGGGCAGCAGGUUAGCAUCAUUUGUAUGUAAUGUUGUCGUUGAGUCUGAUCUAUAUAUGGUGGAUUUUGUUGGCCAUCGAUGGUUCUUAAAUUGCUUCUACUUGAUUGCUUAGUCCGUCUCUCUGAUU